CAAACCUAAACAAAUUGACACCCGAUAUGUAAGUAUUACAAUCCAUAUCUAUCAAAUUUUAUGCUUGAAAUAAGAAGUUUAAAAUGGUUCUGGUGUAAUUAAUAACUUUUACGAUCGCAGUAAGAAUACACGGCUCCAUAGAAUUAAUUUGUAUAUUGACCGAAGUGACCUCACCCUAUCCCGCUUAUUGGGCGGUCCUAUCAUCAUUUUCUAUUUUUAUACUCCUUUCUCAAAAAACGGAGAUGAGUGAUAAAAUUUAUAUUUUCUGAUAGAUAUAUGAUUUCUUCGUGUAUUGAGUAAAUUUCGUAGUGAUUGAUGCAUUAGUUUUCCUAUUUUUUUACGUUUCUUCGAGAUGAUUACAACAAAAAUGGCGUUCUGGAGCGAAAAUGGGGGUGGCUUGGGAAAAACGAAUAAAGUUCUUCAAUUGGCCUAGAUUAAUGUUCAAACAUGUUUACAAACGUAAAACAUUGGUGAUAAAGUGUAUUGAAGAAAUCUCAAACCACUAAAUAAGGGAAUUGUGAUACUUUUUUGUCUUUAAAAAUCAAUGUGGUUCUCAGAUGAAUCGCAAUUUACCAGGCCUAAAUUGAGAGGGGAUCCAGUUGUCAUAAUAAUCUGAUACUUCCUUCCUGUUAAUAUACUGAAGUGAAAUCGUUAAACCAUGUGUUUUGAAAUAGUUUUACAUCAAUUUUAACUAGCCAUGUUCCAUAGAAAACUCUAUAGAUUUGCCUUUGCCGAUGUGGAAAGGGACAAUGCAUGGAUGGUAAUCUUUUCAAAUGUUCAGCCCAGCUCAUCUACUCUAAUGCCUUUAAUGAUGUAUAGGUAGUGCUGUUUUUGUCUUCAUUAUAAAUCACUGCCCCCCUUCAUUAUGCAUGUUAUUAUUAUUGACCCCUUCUCUAUCUGGCAUUUUGCUAGGCUUAAUAAUGUUUUCCUGCAACAACUUCAAAUCAAACAAUGAAAGAUGUUUUCCUGCAACAGUGUCAAAUCAAAAUAGCCUUGCAAGAUUUUUUCCUGCAACGGCGUCAAAGCAAAUAAUUAAAAUAGCAAGACGUCAUAAUUUUUUUAAACCUGUGCAUUACAAAUGUACCUGAGCUUUAUCUUUUGUAGACCGAACUGCUCAUAACUAUACUUCAGUCAAGUCCAGUUAGAGUUUUAUAUAUAUAAUAUAUAAAGGAUAUUCUGUUAUCCAAAAUAUCUAACAUUUAUUCCUUUUAUUGUUAUUUUUGAUUUUUUUUGUAUGCGACAUCUUUUGAUCCUACAAUAUUGCAAAAUAUUUUAUUUUAAAACAAUAGAAACAUUGCUACAAAUAUAAAUUAUUCCUAAAUUUGCAUAAACCCAUAGAAAUCUAACAUAAAUUUUGCAAAUAUAAUUGUUAGAGCAAAGAUCUUGAGGUAGUAUUGCUAUUGUUAAGGACAUAUUUGAUAUUGAAAUUGAUUAAGCCAUAUGCUAUUGUAUUAUUAUUGCCACAUGUAACUAUAUUACACCUUUUUUUUCAGUAUUUCAAAAUGCUCAAACUGGUGAAUGCUAAGAAGAAAAGUCUAGGCACAAGGAUUCAAGUCCCCAAAAAAAGUCUAAGCAGUUGUGUGCCAACAGCAGUUGACCAUUCAUGCACUAAUCAUGUGGACAUAUAUAUAUAUGGCAUGCCUUCAAAUAGAAAUAGAAAUACAAGUGUAUCGGUACAACUGAAUGCCACUUUUGACCAGAAUGUUCCUCUGAAUAUCAUUUAUGGAGGAUAUACUAAUAAUGUUUCAUGGGAUCAUUAACAUUCAAUCUCUUAUAACA
rnacentral:lncRNA from 1 species